GCCUUGAUGUGUAGGAUAGGUGGGAGGCUUUGAAGUGUGGACGCCAGUCUGCAUGGAGCCGACCUUGAAAUACCACCCUUUAAUGUUUGAUGUUCUAACGUGGACCCGUUACCCGGGUUGCGGACAGUGUCUGGUGGGUAGUUUGACUGGGGCGGUCUCCUCCUAAAGAGUAACGGAGGAGCACGAAGGUUGGCUAAUCCUGGUCGGACAUCAGGAGGUUAGUGCAAUGGCAUAAGCCAGCUUGACUGCGAGCGUGACGGCGCGAGCAGGUGCGAAAGCAGGUCAUAGUGAUCCGGUGGUUCUGAAUGGAAGGGCCAUCGCUCAACGGAUAAAAGGUACUCCGGGGAUAACAGGCUGAUACCGCCCAAGAGUUCAUAUCGACGGCGGUGUUUGGCACCUCGAUGUCGGCUCAUCACAUCCUGGGGCUGAAGUAGGUCCCAAGGGUAUGGCUGUUCGCCAUUUAAAGUGGUACGCGAGCUGGGUUUAGAACGUCGUGAGACAGUUCGGUCCCUAUCUGCCGUGGGCGCUGGAGAACUGAGGGGGGCUGCUCCUAGUACGAGAGGACCGGAGUGGACGCAUCACUGGUGUUCGGGUUGUCAUGCCAAUGGCACUGCCCGGUAGCUAAAUGCGGAAGAGAUAAGUGCUGAAAGCAUCUAAGCACGAAACUUGCCCCGAGAUGAGUUCUCCCUGAGACUUAGAGUCUCCUGAAGGAACGUUGAAGACGACGACGUUGAUAGGCCGGGUGUGUAAGCGCAGCGAUGCGUUGAGCUAACCGGUACUAAUGAACCGUGAGGCUUAACCUUACA
rnacentral:rRNA from 1 species